UCAUAAAAUAAAGUUUUAGAAAAUGCAUCAACAUAAUCCCAAUAAUUAUAGUUGAUAGAAAUUAUUUGUACUGGAUGUACAUAUUGACAAUCUUUUAAAGUACUUAAACCCCAUCUUCUGGAAAAAUAAUUCUUUUAAUAAUCAAUUUUGAAAAGGAAAAAUAUGAUUUAUUAGGGCCACCAUUAUUAUUAUGUGCAAUCUCAACAGA
rnacentral:lncRNA from 1 species